rnacentral:tRNA from 1 species
GAGGGUAUAGCUCAGGGGUAGAGUGCAUGCUUAGCAUGCACAAGUUCCUGGGUUCAAUCCCCAGUACCUCCA